AACGCACCUUGCACUCCUUGGUAUUCCGAGGAGUAUGCCUGUUUGAGUGUCAUUAAAUUCUCAAAAGCCUAACCGUUUUUCAACGACUUGGGAUCUUUUGGAUGUGAGGGUUUUUGCUGGCUUCAAUGGAAACCAGCUCCCUUUAAAUGCAUUAGUGGUUGCUUUUAUUUCACUAGAGUGUGAUAGUAUAUCUACGCUCAGACGGUGAUAAUAAGCUUUGUAUCCGCUUUCGAACCGUCUCUAUCAAAGGGACAACUUUUGACCAUUUGACCUCAAAUCAGGUAGGACUACCCGCUGAACUUAA
rnacentral:misc_RNA from 1 species